GCAUCGAUAGCUCAGUGGCAGAGCGGUGGGGCGUUUACCCAUGCGGCCGGGGUUCGAUUCCCGGUCGAUGUA